UACCAGCACCCCGAGUGGCCGGGACGAUUAUUGGGCCUAAAGCAUCCGUAGCCGGUUUUACAAGUCCUCCGUUAAAUCCAACUGCUUAACAGAUGGGCCGCGGAGGAUACUAUAAGACUAGGAGGCAGGAGAGGCAAGCGGUACUCAGUGGGUAGGGGUAAAAUCCGUUGAUCCAUUGAAGACCACCAGUGGCGAAGGCGGCUUGCCAGAAUGCGCUCGACGGUGAGGGAUGAAAGCUGGGGGAGCAAACCGG
rnacentral:rRNA from 1 species